rnacentral:piRNA from 1 species
UGGGAUCUACGAUGCUGGUCAACCAUUCU